rnacentral:rRNA from 1 species
AGCAGCCGCGGUAAUUCCAGCUCCAAUAGCGUAUAUUAAAGUUGUUGCAGUUAAAAAGCUCGUAGUUGAAUUUCGGGACUAAUAUGUCGGUCGUACUUUGUACGUACUAGCAUUAUUGGUUUCUCCCUUCUGACGAACCACGAUGUCAUUAAUUUGGUGUCAUGGGAAAUCAGGACUGUUACUUUGAAAAAAUUAGAGUGUUUAAAGCAAGCUCGCGCUUGAAUACAUUAGCAUGGAAUAAUGAAAUAGGACGUUUGAUUCUAUUUUGUUGGUUUCUAGGAUCGACGUAAUGAUUAAUAGGGAUAGUUGGGGGCAUUAGUAUUCAAUUGUCAGAGGUGAAAUUCUUGGAUUUAUUGAAGACUAACUACUGCGAAAGCAUUUGCCAAGGAUGUUUUCAUUAAUCAAGAACGAAAGUUAGGGGAUCGAAGACGAUCAGAUACCGUCGUAGUCUUAACCAUAAACUAUGCCGAC